rnacentral:rRNA from 1 species
UACGGGGGGGGCAAGCGUUGUUCGGAAUUACUGGGCGUAAAGGGCUCGUAGGUGGCCAACUAAGUCAGACGUGAAAUCCCUCAGCUUAACUGGGGAACUGCGUCUGAUACUGGAUGGCUUGGAUUCGGGAGAGGAAUGCGGAAUUCCAGGUGUAGCGGUGAAAUGCGUAGAUAUCUGGAGGAACACCGGUGGCGAAGGCGGCAUUCUGGACCGACAUUGACGCUGAGGAGCGAAAGCCAGGGGAGCAAACGGG